rnacentral:rRNA from 1 species
AAUAGAUACCCCGGUAGCCCACGCCGUAAACGAUGAAUACUAGGUGUGGGGGUUGUCAUGACCUCCGUGCCGCCGCUAACGCAUUAAGUAUUCCGCCUGGGGAGUACGGUCGCAAGAUUAAAACUCAAAGGAAUUGACGGGGGCCCGCACAAGCAGCGGAGCAUGUGGUUUAAUUCGAAGCAACGCGAAGAACCUUACCUAGACUUGACAUCUCCUGAAUUACUCUGUAAUGGAGGAAGCCCUUCGGGGCAGGAAGACAGGUGGUGCAUGGUUGUCGUCAGCUCGUGUCGUGAGAUGUUGGGUUAAGUCCCGCAACGAGCGCAACCCUUAUUGUUAAGUUGCUACCAUUUAGUUGAGCACUCUAGCGAGACUGCCCGGGUUAACCGGGAGGAAGGUGGGGAUGACGUCAAAUCAUCAUGCCCCUUAUGUCUAGGGCUACACACGUGCUACAAUGGCUGGUACAGAGAGAUGCAAUACCGCGAGGUGGAGCCAAACUUCAAAACCAGUCUCAGUUCGGAUUGUAGGCUGAAACUCGCCUAC